AAUAGACCAAAUAACUCGCUUUCGGAGCGCACCUAUUUACUCAAUCGUCAUGUUUGCUGGACGUACUCAACGCAAAAACGUAUUGUUCACGAUAAGAAGGCACACAAGGAGAUUAUAACCACGGAUUUUUAUUAUAAAGUUUUCAUCAAAAAAUAUAGGAGAAAAACGCGGAACGCUUCUUAGUCUGCAUUAAUAGCAUACAGUUCAUCUAUUCUUAUGUCAUUCGAAAACCACAUUGCGCAUUAAUAAAGCCAUAAUAAGCAAAGAGAUGCCACGGGAAACAUCUGAUUGGGAACAAUUACCGGUUAAGAGGAUUUUUAGUACUGCAGCUACUUAUGCAAAAGCCAUGGAAAAAUUAGUCCUAGCGCAAGAAACGUCCAACAUAGACAACAUAGACAACAGUGAUAUGUCUUCAGAAGUAUUAAGAGAGCCAGAGAAGAAAAGAAGGCGCAUAAAAGCAAAAAAGAAGUUCUCCUCUUUUUCAUCUGACAAAGAUAUUGCAGAUAAUAAUAAGGAAAAUAGAUGGACACAAAUGAAAACGUUAUCUGCUUUUCCAGGAAUAGAACAAUUUGUGCCUGUCAUUAAUGAACAUAUCCACACACAGUUUCCAAUACACAAAUCUACAGAUAAUUCUAAAGAUAUAUUAUUCAACAAAACAUUAAUCAAUAUCGCGAAAAAUAAUGAUGAAGACACUAAUAGACAAAGUAAACGAAAGAACUUCUUGGAGAAAAUUCUACUAUUAAUAGGGGUAAAGAAUAGUUUUCAACGGAUGAAUUCAAUAAACAAGUUUUAUUAAAGUUAAACAAAAUAUUAUAUAAACUUGAUAUAUUAGAAAACAAACUCCAUAUUGUUGAAAAUAAGAUAGGAUUUGUCAAUUCUGUUCGUGAGGAAUGUAAUGUUACAUUCCCUGUAUCCACAAUAUCGGAACUAACAUGUUUUGAAGAGCAAUUACAGAAAAUGCAAUUCAAAAAUGAAGUGCUUCAUUUUUUCAAUUGGUUGGUGGAAGUACAGCGCAUGUUAUGAUUCAUAAUAUGCUGAAAAAAGCAAUUACAAAUUCUGUAGCCCUAAAUUUUAGUUGGGCUGGAAAAAGAGCUUCCAACAGUUAAAUCUCACAAAAAUGAUUGCACAAGCUGUUCGAAUGUUACAUGGCCAGGUAACAGAUAUGGAAAUUGCAGACUCCAUAUCAAAGUGGCUUGCACAAACUACUUUAAGAACUACAAGAGAAAAGUCGCAUCCAGCAAUGUGAAUCGAAUUGACUAGUAAAGAGACGUUAAUGGAAGAAGAAAAAUCGCGCGGAACUCAACGGCCUCUCGUCCCCGAAGUAUUUUUGGUGAAUACACGCUGAACCUCAUGUAACAGUGUUAGGCAUAAGUCGACUAAGAACCGGUUUUUCAAUGAUUGUUUAAACUUAGAUUUCGACUUAAACUCGAUUUAAACAAAACAAAUUAUUAACAUUCUAACAUUGUUAGAAUGUUAAUAAUAUAUGUUACAUAUAUGUGAUAUAUAUUUUUUUAUCGUCUUUAAAAAAUCCUUUUGUUGCAGAGGAAAAGUUCUUUUAGGGAAACAUGUAACAGUUAAUUUUUUUCAUUAUCUAAUGAUUUAUUAUGGUAACAGAUAAGAUAACACAUUUGAACAUCACUUUGUAUAUAUUUAGUAUAUGUUGUUAUUUAAUGAUCUGUGAUUCACAACCCGAACUCAGGAGUACUUACUUCAUUUUAGAUCCAAUUUUAAAAUUGCUUCUAUUAACACAAGAUAAUAAUCAAUUUCCCUAUGAUUCACUAUGUGGCAACAUUGCAGAUAUUACAUUAAUCUUUCAAAAAUCAAAUGUUUUAUGGUGACAACUUAAUUUCUAUAACCGUUAGGGUUUAAAAUGACUCCAGGUGACUAUUCCCGAGUUGAAGAAAGAAAUAUAAGUCAUUUUGUUUUGUUUUUAUGAUUUGUUACGGUAACAAAUUAAAAAGUUACUGUUUUUUUUCUAUAACAUUAUGUUUCAUUUUGUUUAAGAAAACAAUUGAAAAAUUUAUUUUAUUUCUUGUUUCAUAGUCUAUAACAGAUCUCCCAGAAUACCUAUAAAAAAUAAAUAUAUAAUUGA